rnacentral:rRNA from 1 species
UAACACAUGCAAGUCGAGCGCGAAAACACCUCGGUGUGAGUAGAGCGGCGGACGGGUGAGUAAUGCUUGGGAAUCUACCUAGUAGUGGGGGAUAACGUGUGGAAACGCACGCUAAUACCGCGUACGUCCUACGGGAGAAAGCAGGGGACCUUCGGGCCUUGCGCUAUUAGAUGAGCCCAAGUCGGAUUAGCUAGUUGGUAGGGUAAUGGCUUACCAAGGCGACGAUCCGUAGCUGGUCUGAGAGGAUGAUCAGCCACACUGGGACUGAGACACGGCCCAGACUCCUACGGGAGGCAGCAGUGGGGAAUAUUGCACAAUGGGCGAAAGCCUGAUGCAGCCAUGCCGCGUGUGUGAAGAAGGCUCUAGGGUCGUAAAGCACUUUCAGUAGGGAGGAAAAGUAUGUAGUUAAUAACUGCAUACCCUGACGUUACCUACAGAAGAAGCACCGGCAAACUCCGUGCCAGCAGCCGCGGUAAUACGGAGGGUGCGAGCGUUAAUCGGAAUUACUGGGCGUAAAGCGCGCGUAGGUGGUUUGAUAAGCUAGCUGUGAAAGCCCCGGGCUCAACCUGGGAACUGCAGUUAGAACUGUCUGACUAGAGUACAGUAGAGGGUGGCGGAAUUUCCUGUGUAGCGGUGAAAUGCGUAGAUAUAGGA